CCAUAUGUUCAAAAUUUCGAGCUUUCAAAAUACCAAGAUAGAUGUCAAUUGUGUGACGGACUUCCUUGAAGAUCCCCGAGCUCAUAACUAGUUUCUAAAAAUCUAUAAAAGAAAUGAAUGAACAGAUACACAGUAAGCUUAAAUAGCUUAGUAAGUUGUAAGUAUAUAAUUUUCAAAGAACUCAUAAAAAUUACACCAAUAGGCCGAAAUCAACUAAUCAUGUACACAUAUAUAUAAUCAUAUUUAUACGAUUAAUUCAUCUUUCAUAUUAUACAUAUUACUUACCUUUACUUCUAAUUUCGUAUAACUUAAACGUACCUGAAUUAUUUAAUUCAAACUCACAUUCAAGUUUACCAUAUGAUUUCCCGUUAUACCUUGCGGAUUCAAAGAAAAGAUACUCGAUCGGCUUAAAAAGCUCGUACAAUGCCAACGUCCUAGACGUGGUCUUUCAUGUAAUCAAACAACGAUGCCACUGUCCCAGACAAGGUUUUACACAUAAUCAUAUACGAUGCUAAUGUCCCAGACAUGGUCUUACACGUAAAUCUCAAAUCGAGGCCAACGUCCCAUACGUGGUCUUACACGAUGUCACAUUUCAGCAUUUAUGUAGUUCGUAUGACUUUCGGAUGUCGUAAAUCAACCAAUUAAAACUCAUAAUUAAUCAUCAUUUGUCAAAUACAAUUCAGCAUAAUAGGGUACACAUACACAUUUAGAUUCGGCUAUACAUAAAAUAAAUACAGUAAAUUUAACUUCAAUAAUUUACUUACGAACUUACCUCGGACGAAGACAAGCGGAUGAGAUCGACUACUCGACCACUUUCGACUUCCACCGUUCUAAUUUCGUUUUCUUUUGUUCUUAUUCUAAAUAAAUUCAAAUUUAGCUAUUUAAUAACACAUUUCAUUCAAAUUUAUUCCAAAAACACAUAAAUGGGAAAUUUGCAUUUUAACCCCUAACAUUUCACAUUUUUUCAAUUUAGUCUCUAUUUCAAAACAACUCAAAAUAUUCAAAAUUUCAACCCACUCUAGAUAGGCCGAAUAGCCACUCAUUUCUAUUAUUUAUUUCACAUGUUGACCCCUCAAUUUACAAAAUUCACAAUUAAAUCCUUAGUACACAUUUUUUUACUAAAAAUCAAUUAAACAUAAUAAUCUAACAUCAAAAAUUUAUUUUUCAUCAUCAAACAAAAAUUUCAUCACAUUAUCAACAAUGGAGCUUCUCAAAAUCAUCAUCAAUUCCAAAAGUUAAAACAUGGGCUCGAUAAUAUACAAAGCAACGAUAUCAAAAACGUAAAAAUUAUCAAAAAUCGAAUAAGAAAUAUACCUAAUUUUGAGCUCCAAAAUGCCGAAUACCUAAAAGCUCAAAAGCUUAUUUUCUUUCUCAACAUUCA
rnacentral:lncRNA from 1 species